AGAGUUUGAUCCUGGCUCAGAUUGAACGCUGGCGGUAUGCUUUACACAUGCAAGUCGAACGGGCUUGGGGGCUUGCUCCCGGGUUAGUGGCGAUCGGGUGAGUAAUAUAUCGGAACAUAUCCGGAAGUGGGGGAUAACGUAGCGAAAGUUACGCUAAUACCGCAUAUGCCCUGAGGGGGAAAGGGGGGGAUCGCAAGCCUCUCGCUUUCGGAGUGGCCGAUACCGGAUUAGCUAGAUGGUGAGGUAAAGGCUCACCAUGGCGACGAUCCAGUAGCGGUCUGAGAGGACGACCCAGGCACACUGAACUGAGCACGCC
rnacentral:rRNA from 1 species